ACUUCCGGUCAGAACAUCAAUGACCGCCAUUUGAAUCAACAAAAGGAGCUGUAACACUGUGAGGGUCUGGUCAGCUGCUUCAUUCUUGAAGUCAGUGAGACCGCAAACCCACCAGAAGGAACCAACUCCGGACACAGAGGGACUAGAUAAUACUGGCUGAAUGAAGGAAUAUGAACAAGGCCACUUGGCACUCAGAAACAUACAUCUAAGGAAAGAUUCACUUAAAAACCAGCCAAGACACAGUCAUAUAAUUGGGAUCUCCAGGGCCCUGAGUAAAGACAGUCUCCUCCCACUUCAUCGUCGGUAAAUCAAACUCUCCACAGAUGGUCAGUCAAGAGGAAGAAAAGGAAACUUGAGGCAAGGGAAGAUGUGAAACAAUUCAAAGUGAUGCAUAUGACUCCAGCUGCUGCCGUGUGAAGUACCACCGUGAGAUACAGCAGCUUUCUCAGCAGGCUUGUCUACGAAAACAUCAGGGACUCCCCUGGAAAUUGUGCAAAGUAAAACCUCAGAGUCUUUUUUGGAAGAUAGCAAAGAAGAAAAUUUUAUUUUUGUCAUGGGUCAAAGUUUACCCCAUGAGGGGUUUAACCCCCAAACACAUUUCUGAUUGGCAUCAUCUCUUCCCUUCUGUGACUUAAAGGAUGCCAGAAUCCUGACCUUGCCUUUCAUCGAAGUCUUAAUGUGGUAGAAGGCUCCAGGUGUGUGGCUGUUUGGCUGGCAUCGUCUCAAGCCCAGACCUAUAUUUACUGACUUAGAAUCUAUAUUUUAACAAGUGGGUGAUUUGUGCAUACAGUGAGGUUUAAAAACCGCUACGCUAUACCACACGGCCUUUCCACAACCUCGUGUGGGUCAAUCAUUCCUUGAUAUUGGUUCAGAACCAACUUGGGUGCACACCUGAAGGAACAAUUGUUUCCUCUUCUUCGGCUGUUUCCUUUAAACAUCAGGGGAAAUGUGUUUGUGUGCCACAGACCUCAGAAGUGGGGUCCACACUCAAACCGUCUAGGAGGUUUACUUCAACAUGAAAUGGAAAUGAAAGUUUAGGUUUCUGUCCUGGGCAUGCCCAGUAUGAAAUCUCUCCCAGGGAGUAAGGCAAAUUUUGUCUGUGGCCUUGAAAAUUAUGGUUCAUGUGGCCUUGAAAAUUAUGGCCCAUGCUUGGAGCUUGGAGCUACCCCAAGCUCUCAUGAACGUGAUUCAAGAUCCUUUCGAAUCUGGUCUCAUGUUUCUAAUGUUCCAGAUACCAUUUGCAAUAACUGUCAACAAGUGCUAAAGCAUUAUAACAAUUAAAUACUGGUGGCUUGAGUAUUAGUCUUCAUUCAACACACUUUUACUAAAUACCAUCCCUGUGCAGACAAGAGGCAAGGUACUGGAAAUACAAAACUGAUCAAGACACAGCCUCGUUCUCAAGAAGUUCACAAUCAUUUUGGACGUAUUGCUUGACAUUAACAAAUAAGCAGGCUCAUAGUGGGCUUUAACACAGAAAAAAUGGCACUAAAAGAUAUACAUUGAUAAUAAGGUCAUGCUCGGUGAGAAUGUUCAUGAUAAUGAUCAUCUAAUAUGUAUCAUAUGCAGAUACAUUAUGGUUCCAAGCGUAUGUGGCUCUAAUAAACAGUGUCCGGUAUUUGUGGAUUAUCUUUCCAGGGGAGCACAGUUGUAACUGUUGUACGUGCUCUACUUGCCUACAGCAGAACAUCUUGUUUCUGUGGGAUUCUUCAGUCUGCCCUCCCAUGGGAAAACUGAUCAAGAGAAAGCAGAGGCGUCUACCUGUGAUGGAUAUGUUGGAAAGGUGUAUUUAGCAUGCAUAUUCUAUGGCAGUAUAUGUAAAUACAAUUAAAAUCUACUGACAUAUCUUGGGGAAAUUAAUUUUUGUGUAUUAAAAUUAUUCCAAUUUCCCUGGAUACAUGAGGCUGCCUUGAAUCAGUUUCCCUAAUUUUUAACAUUGGCAUGGUCCCUAAGCAAAGCUACUGUGGGUCUGUUUCAUGACUGGGGUAAGCUCAGGGAAUACCUAAACACUUUACAGACUUUAUUUUUAACAUUGAAAACUUCUAUAAGAAAGGUAUAUCUGGAAAAGGAUAGAAAACAAAUAAAUAGAAAAGUUAUAGCAAUCGUAAAA
ensembl:lncRNA novel transcript